UCCUUACGGGGAGCAGCAGUGGGGAAUAUUGCACAAUGGGCGCAAGCCUGAUGCAGCGACGCCGCGUGAGGGAUGACGGCCUUCGGGUUGUAAACCUCUUUCAGUAGGGAAGAAGCGAAAGUGACGGUACCUGCAGAAGAAGCACCGGCUAACUACGUGCCAGCAGCCGCGGUAAUACGUAGGGUGCGAGCGUUAUCCGGAAUUAUUGGGCGUAAAGAGCUCGUAGGCGGUUUGUCGCGUCUGUCGUGAAAGUCCGGGGCUUAACCCCGGAUCUGCGGUGGGUACGGGCAGACUAGAGUGCAGUAGGGGAGACUGGAAUUCCUGGUGUAGCGGUGGAAUGCGCAGAUAUCAGGAGGAACACCGAUGGCGGAAGGCAGGUCUCUGGGCUGUAACUGACGCUGAGGAGCGAA
rnacentral:rRNA from 1 species